ensembl:lncRNA
UAGCAUAAAUACAUGGUGCUUAAAUUGGGUACUUGUGACAUUGAGAUUCAGUCUCUAAAACAGAUAUUUUUAAAAAAGAUCUGUAGGCUCCAAAACAUUACAAUGAGAGUAGGAAGUCUUUGGUGAAAUUUGUUUGGCCUUGUUACUUUGUGAGCCUUGUUACUGUGAUUGAAAUCAUACAUAAAACACAAGAUAGGAAGAUAUUUCUUUCCUCUCUGUGUUUCCCAAUGUCUUGACUUUGUCUGCGGCUCCGCCAUGAGAGCAAAUGCAUUUGUCUGUACAAUAAAUGGGCUCUCAGUGACUGGGCAUUUGUUUGGAAGGGCAUUCAAGAUCUAGGGCACAUCAACCACAGGCGCCUCGUGCGUCUAUCUGCACCAGCUCUGUAAGGGCAAAGUCCUCAUUAAAGCAAUGGCUGUGGAAGAAGCCUGGUGACUAAAUGCUCUUUGGGAGUUGCAAACCAAGCAGGGAAGUAAACUGCUCCCCCAGGAAUAUAAAGUGAUCCUUGUUGCUCUGGGAGAAGUAAUUGUUGAAUUGUUUUCUUGGUUCUUUGAGACCCAGUGUUGGACUCCCUCUCUGAUAAGCUGGAUACUUUAAGCCAAUUUCCCAAAGGCCAGCAGUCAAUAGGAUGAGAGUGAGAAGUAGAGUCAAGGUGGGGUAUGAUGUCCUUCAUCAAUGAGUAUGGGUAGUUGUAUUUGUCCAAUGCUACUGUUUAGCACUGGCCUUGUGCAGAGUAGCUGUCUUUAUACAAAUAAAUAAGUGCCUUCCAGAAGCUAGAGGUGAGGCACAAUUGCUCUAGAGAAGCCCAUUUGUCCUCUUUCAUAGUCUAAGAAUAGAUCCACCAAGCAAGCUGGGUCAGUUACUAUGGUGCUGAGUCACCAAGCAAAGUUUCCAAGGAUAUCAAACUUGCAUUAUUCUUUCCCUGAGCAAAACACUGCCAGUCCCUUCUAAUGCCGGGACAACCUCUGACUGUUCCCUUGCAGCACGGGUCUUUUCUUCCCUGGUUCCUUUUCUCAGGGGAACUUUCUGUAUGGCUGGCUGUGGCCAUUGCUGCUGUUCUACCUAGGGAGUGAGCACAAUUUACUCACAUUAUGAUUUAGACUGAGGAACAUCGCCCACAUUCUCAUGCAUUCAGAGACAGGGCUUAUAGAAAGUGAUUGGAUUUUGGGGGAGCUACAGUUGAUUUACUGUGAGAAGGUAGAGGCCACUGGGGUCAUGGCAUGGAUGGUUGUAUUGCCCUCACUGGCUCCUCCCUCCUCUCUCCACUUCCUGACUACCAUGAUGUGAGCAGGUUUCCUACCCCCAGGCCCUUCCGCUAUGCCACUGACCAUGCAAAGAUUGUGAGUCAAAAUAAACCUCUCCUAUUUUUAAGUUGUAUUUGUAUAUUUUGCCCAGGUGAUGAGGAAAGUGACUGAGACAUCUAGGAAGCCAUAGGGACAGCUGGAUUAAUGGAGGUGGAGGAAGGAAACUAAUGCCAAAUGACACAAUCUAUAUCCCAGAAAUGGAAGACAUUGCUGGCUCAGAGAUUCGGAACAUCAAGGCAGCCAGGACAGCACAACCAAUGACACUACUGAAAGAGGACUCCAGAGCUGCUUCAGAAAGUGGCAUGAACAAUCAGCUAUAGUGCUGAGGCAGACCCCAAAGAACAGUCCAUGUUAUGGAACAUUUUUCAGAAAUCCAUUUUAAAAAUAGGAGAAUGCUGUAAAUGAAGCUUUGCAGUGGGAGCACCAGGUCCAGAAGAGAUAAGCAGUAUUGACUUUGAUGGGACAGGAGAGGCGCUAGAGACGGGUGCAGAGGAGACCUCUGAGCAGUGAAGGAAAGGUCUACGCUGUUGGGAUUCUGCUGGAGGCUGCUUCUCGAGGUCUGAUUGCUCAGUUUGUGGGCUGCAGACUUACUGAGUUGGAACACUGGGUGGCAACUAAUAGCCACUUAGAU